rnacentral:lncRNA from 1 species
GUGAUAAUUUCUAUGUAAAUAUAAGUCACAUAUUAAGAUCUGUAUCAACGAUAUUUAAUCAGUAUAUGACAAAGCAUUUUUUCAAACUAUUUACCUGUUAUAUACCUGUUAUGAGUAUAACCACAAAUAUCACAAGAGGAUCUGUGUAUAAGGAAAAAUAAAAAGGAAAAACAAAGAUGGGCGUGAAAGUUCAUGUUGAAUAUUGGUAAGUUAUUCGUUUAAUUUCCAUUUAUUAUUUAAGAUUUUUUAUAAAUUAAACAAAAUCAGCUGUGAAAUUGAUUUUUUCAUUUAUCGGUAUCAAGUUUCAGGUGAAUUUCAAUUUAGUUUAGGUAGAUCGAUUGCUUGUUGUUUGCUCAACGUCAAACGCAAAUAUGUCCUUAUUGUUCGGGACAUAGUUUUGAUAGAUAAUAAUUCCUUCCCCUCAAAUAGAUAAAUAAAUUCAAAAAAAAUUAUUAGUAGGCCCCAUGCAAAAAUGAAAUUAUGUUUAUACUUGCGGAAAUCGUAUGAUAGGUCAAAAUGUACCACUGAUAAGAAUAACAGAGCUUAUGUAAUGGUAUCAUUUGAAAAAAUAAAGAAAGAAGUGUGUGUUACUGUUUGGAUUAAGCAACAAUUAUAGUAACAAUGCGAGUAUUCAUUUGUAUGUUUCGGAAAUAAGUGCGGCAUAUGUUGUCUCUUUGAAACAUUACUCAUUUCCAUUUUCUAAUAAUUCUAUCUAUAUUUUAAAAAUAUUAUUUAUCAAAUUUAAGUCGUUUAACUUAAAUAUCAAUUUAUAAUAGAAUCAAUAGCGUAUUUGGCUUGUUUAUAAGUACAAGAUAUAAAAUGAAACUUUCAUAAAUAUCGAUAUAUAAUGCAUGACCUACACUUCUUUUGUACUUAAGUAAUUUUUAAAGGUACAUAAUACAUUAAACACAUAUUAUAUAAUCUAUUAGAAAAUGGUCUGUGAACAUAUAAAGGAUUAGUCAGAUAAUCAUGACACAGCAAGUUUUAAUUUCGAAAAUAAUACCUGAAAAGGAAGUAAUUCUAUAUUUUAUAUUUUAAAUUUAUAUGUUCCCCGACAUGAGAACACCCUCAGGGUUACAAUCAAUUAAUCGAUCUUCCGACCUGCAGUAAAGCGAAUACCGCAUCCCCUUAAUUAGGGGGGGGGGGGUAAAUUAGAUGCCUCAUGUAUAGAUAGUAUGUCGUCAAUGCAAGUGAUGAAACUGUCGAACACCGGGGGGGGGGGGAGGGCGGGGGGUGUUAUUGCAAGGCUUAAUUUUGUUUCUAUCCAAAUAUAUCCUCUUGUUCCACUGGACGUCCUAAUUUUUAUCCCGAUCAACCUCUAUCCCUGGACUAAAGCAUUAAAAGCUUGUGUUCGUUCUAAACAUACAUAAACAAUUUGCUACUGGACGUAAAUAUCAUCAAUCAAUCAUUCAUUAAAAUGGGUUACUUUUACAAAUAGUGACCUGGAUGUAGGGUUGUUUAAUUGGCACUCAUACCACAUCUUCUUAUAUCUACAUACUGAUUUAAAUGGAAAAUGCAGAACUUUAUUUUUAGUCUAAAGAUAUUAUCAAGUUCGAAUUCUUACAAGAUGAACAUUUUAUAAAAUGGCAAAAAAUUCCCUUAACUGACAUAACAUUUGAAACAAUUAUACAUAUUUUUCUUCUGAAAUUUUUGUUAUUAUUGCAACUGAAAUUGCCAUGGUAUAGCAUAAACUGUUCGUUUAGGUUUAUAUAUACCAAAUAAAGAUAUUUUAAUUCUUUUGCGAUCCUCUAUUUAAGCAUCAGGAAUAGGUAAAUUUUAUUUUUGAUCAAGGCGAGAGAAACGAGAUUUAUAAGAAACGUUAACGGAGCACAUUAAAACAUGCAGCUGUGCAUCUGACCUCACACACUCACAACACAUUAAUUUAGAUAUUGAAUGUGGACCGGAAAAAAAUGAAUUUCUCUAGGUUAAAUGUUCCUCUAACUGAUUGCAUUCCAGAAUUUCCUUAGUGUAUUUAUUACCUUCAAGAGCAAACAACAAUGGCAUUUUUUUCUCUUUUGUUUAUAACUUAUAAAAACAUGUAUGUUAACAUCUCAUUUUGAAUAUUUUAUACAGUAGCGGAUGAGGUUACGCAGGCAAGUAUGAGGCGCUUCGUAGGCGCAUCUUUGUUGAGGUACCUGGUGCUGACGUCGUAGGAUCAAAGGGUCGCAGGAGUAUGUAUAGUUUCAAUUUAAAUCAGUAUAGAAAACUAUGACAGCAAUUUUAUACAUUGUGUAUUGUCAAUCAUGAAAUGAGAUAUGGAGUAUAAGACAUUAUCACAAUUUGUUACGAAGUUGGGUUUUGCAUAUGCCAAUAACCUCAAAAUUGCCGGGGCAAAAAAGAGCAUAUUGAUAUUGUGCCCUGAUUCCAAUUGACGUACGUCAUUGCGUCCUAAACGACACUUUUGUGAUACAAAAUUUCAGAUUUUACCUGUUAUGUUUCAUUAAAUUGUAAUAAUUGAACUUUCUGUCUCAAUUCUGCAGAAUUUAAAUAUGUGAAUAGAUAACAACAUGUCUUUUCCAUAAUGGCCCUGGUAUCAUCCCUCGACUCAUAUCGGCCUCGGUCUCGGGAUGAUACCAGGGCCAAUAUGGAAAAGACCAUGUUAUAAUCUAUACAUAUCCUAGACAAGAACAUCAAAUUUUGGUAUUUUGUACAAAUAUUUCUUGAUAGUUUUAGUCUUGUUUUGUCAUAUAUUAAUAAAUGAAAGUAAACAAAUUGCUUUUUUGCUUUCUGUUUUAAGAUAUUUGUGCUAUAAGACAUAUUUCAAUUAGUGCAGACAUUAUGAACUUAAAUAAAAAAUAAUACAACCGAUGUCAACUUUGAUACAAUUAUCUUAGUUAUUAUAGUUUAUGGUUUACGGCAAACAAAUAACUCAGUGUUUCUAUCAAGAAAUAAGGAGAGGUGAUAUGAUUGUCAAAAAAACAAUAAUCCACCAAAGUUCAAUUCAAGUGCAUGUGGAUGUAAGAAAUUAUUGGCAAAGGAACAGCCUUCAACAAUGAGAAAAAUCCAUAUCAUAUAGUUAUCUACAAAAGGCCACGACAUGAAAAUAUGAAACAAUUCAAUUGAGAAAAGUAAUUAAUUUAGGAUAAAACAAUUAACGUAGAAAACAAAUAUGAGAGACAUGAAUCAACAACAACCUUUGAACUAUCGUUUCCUUCCUGACUUAGGAAAGGCACAUACAUGAAGAAUGUGGCGGUAUAAACAUAUGUGUGAGCCCUCAACCCCACCCCUAAACCCGGACAGUGGUGUAACAAUACUAAAUAAGGACUUAAAAAAUAGUUACUCUUUUUUUGUUAUUUUCCAAUUAGUUUAAGGGUAUUUUAUAAUUGACAAUACAAUAUGCGGUUUGCUCAUUAUUUAAGGCUGUACAUGUAGGUGACCUGUAGUUGUAAACUUCGAAUUUUAUGUCAUUUAAUGUCUUCUCGAGGUGGAGAGUGGUCAACUUGACAAUCAUAUCCCAACUGCUUUGUAUAUAUACAUGUACAUGAACGAAUGAAAAAUAGAAAAUUUUAUUAUUUCAGCUUCAUUUGAAAUUACGAUCAAUGAUAAGGAGGUGUUUUCCAAAUUGAAGUUGAAAGGUUGGCCAAUCGAAGAAGAUGUAAGUA